rnacentral:rRNA from 1 species
UACGGAGGGUGCAAACGUUGCUCGGAAUCAUUGGGCGUAAAGCGCACGUAGGCGGCUCGGUUAAGUCGGAUGUGAAAGCCCCGGGCUCAACUCGGGAAGUGCAUUCGAAACUGGCGAGCUUGAAUAUGGAAGAGGGUCGCGGAAUUCCCGGGUGUGAGAGGUGAAAUUCGUAGAUAUCGGGGAAGGAACACCAGUGGCGAAGGCGGCG